UACAGAGGUCCCGAGCGUUGUUCGGAUUUAUUGGGCGUAAAGGGUGCGUAGGCGGCGGAGUAAGUUGAGUGUGAAAUCCCGGGGCUUAACCUCGGAAUGGCAUUCAAUACUGCUUCGCUUGAGUACUGGAGAGGAGGCUGGAAUUUACGGUGUAGCAGUGAAAUGCGUAGAUAUCGUAAGGAAGGCCGGUGGCGAAAGCGAGCCUCUGGACAGUUACUGACGCUGAUGCACGAAGGCCAGGGGAGCAAACGGG
rnacentral:rRNA from 1 species